rnacentral:rRNA from 1 species
AACGAACGCUGGCGGCAGGCCUGACACAUGCAAGUCGAACGAGAAGCCACCUUCGGGUGGUGGAAAGUGGCAGACGGGUGAGUAACGCGUGGGAACGUGCCUUUCGGUUCGGGAUAACCCAGGGAAACUUGGGCUAAUACCGGAUACGCCCUCCGGGGGAAAGAUUCAUUGCCGAAAGAUCGGCCCGCGUCGGAUUAGCUGGUUGGUGGGGUAAUAGCCUACCAAGGCGACGAUCCGUAGCUGGUCUGAGAGGAUGACCAGCAACACUGGGCCGGAGACAGGGCCAAGACUCCGACGGGGGGCAGCAGUGGGGAAUAGUGGACAGUGGGGGAAGGCUGGAUCCGGCCUUGCGGGGUGGGUGAAGAAGGCCUUAGGGUUGUAAAUCCUUUUCAGCGGGGACGAUAAGAACGGUACCCGCAGAAGAAGUCCCGGCUAACCCCGUGCCAGCCGCCGCCGUAA